CUUUCACACUGGAAUACAUAAUUUAAUAUAUUAAAUCAUUGCACUACCAUUCAGAACAUAAUUUAAUGAAUUUUGGUACAUUUCAAUAUCACUAGCUUUUUAUACCGAGUUUAGAGAAAACACAACAUUUUUUUAGAUAAAAGAAAGCAAGCUUUGCUAAUAGUUCAUUUUUGGGAAUCUUAACUGUAGAAAGAAAAUGAAGGGGAAGGCCGGAGACAAAGAUGCAGGAAUGGGUGACUGAAUUUGACUUCACUCUAUGCCAGUCACAGUAAGGAUGCUGUAUAAACUUCCUAUUUUCAACUCAAUGAAAUUUCUUUACCAAAAAGUCCAGUUAUUCCCUUGCCAGGGUCACUUUGUUUCACAAUUGACUCCCCAACCAAAACCUGAAAUACAAAAACAAGACACGGAUCCAUUAUGAACUUUGCAACAUAGAUUUCGUAGUUCAUUAUUAUGUUCAUGCAAAAUUCUAGUGGAAUUUCUGCAGUUGAGGUUUGGCAUGGAUAAGAUAUUAUUAUCAGUUCAAAUUCAUAUGUUUUCACGAAGUGCAUGAAACGGCAAAGAAAUGCAUUUUGGUUUCAAAUGAGGGAUCCAUUGCUUCUAUGAGCAGAACUUCUUAUCUAGCAAAGUUUGAGUUUGUGGAGCUUACUGCUUUCACACCAGCUUCUUGUACAUAAGCAAUGUCAUCAGGAGUAAACAGCCCAGAUUCCCCAACUACAAUUAUGUCUUUUUGUCGGAUAAGUUGACCUCGCUCUCCUUCAAGAAGCUUCCUUGUGUUACUGAUAUCAACCUCAAAUGUUUCAAGAUUUCGAUUGUUGAUACCAAUUAGCUCAAUCCCCUCUAUUCCAAGAACACGAUCCAUUUCCCUCUCAUCGUGCACCUCGACAAGUGCUGCCAAACCAAGCAUUUUGCAGAUCUUGACCAUGUAUCUGAUGUCUAGAUCAGGCAAAACAGCAGCAAUUAAAAGAAUGGCAUCUGCACCUUUAAUUCGGGCAUAGUAGAUCUGCCAACUAUCCAUAACAAAUUCUUUGCACAGUAGAGGGCACUUUACUCCUGCCUUCCUUAUUGCCUCCAGAUUUUCAAAGCUCCCCUUAAAAUACUUUUCAUCAGUCAAAACACUGAGACAUGCAGCGCCACCUCUCUCGUAAGCUUGGGCAAUUUCAACAGGAUCGAAGUCCUCUCUUAGGAUUCCUCUGCUUGGAGAAGCCUUCUUCACCUCAGCAAUCAACCCAGGAAGUCCAGUUUUAAGAUUAGCUUCCCUGAGAGCUGCAAUAAAAUCUCUGGAAGGAGGAGCAUUCUCAAGAGAUUUCUUCAGCACAGAGAAAGGUAUCCUCUUUUUCAACUGGGAGACUUCCAUGUCCUUAUGCCAUAUGAUUUCCUCCAGGAUGUUCCUGGGGUUACCGCCCUCGUUUUGUACAUGAAACUCAAAGGGUCCGACGUAGUGCAAAGGCGGCCCCGUCGGCGGCCUCCUCCUAAUUCUAAUCCCCUGGCUAGCAGCCAAUUCGUUUUGGAGCAUACCUACUUCCCACUCCUUCACUUGGAGGGCAUUUGCCUCCUCCUCCCUCACGGCCAACACCGUAGCCGAACCUACCUUGUUGUCUGGCUGUUGAACUCGAACAGAGAAACGAUUGAGCAUAUGGAGGUUCAUCGGGCGUCUGAUUGAGAAGCUUGGCCUGUGGAAAAGAGGAGUAGUCCUGGGGGACACUCUAGGUGAAACUAAUCGUUCCAUCCUACGAUAGGAAUUUCGCAGCAAAAGCCCAAACGCAAUGCAGGUGUUUUUGAAGGUGGAAGCAGGCAGAGGAUGGCCGGUGUGGCUCUGUUAAUGCACAACGGCUUAUCGUUGCAGCUGGAAGCCACAAUUGUCAGUGUCACGAACCGGC
rnacentral:misc_RNA from 1 species